GAACGAGACCGUGGAUCACUCCACUGAUUACAGUGUGCGACCGGUGUGAGUAACACGUGACCAACCUGCCCUCGAGUGGGGAAUAACUCCGGGACAACGGAGCUAAUACCGCAUAACAUCGCAAGAUCAAAUCCGCAAGGCGCUUGAGGAGGGGGUCGCGGCUGAUAAGCUAGUUGGUAGGGUAAUGGCCUACCAAUGCGAAGAUCGGUAUCCGGCCUGAGAUGGCGCACGGCCACACUGGAACUGAAACACGGUCCAGACUCCUACGGGAGGCAGCAGUGGGGAAUUUUGCGCAAUGGGGGAAACCCUGACGCAUCAACGCCGCGUGGAUGAUGAAUUCCCUUGGGACGUAAACUCCUUUCGACCGGGACGAUACUGACGGUACCGGAAUACUAAUCACCGGCUAACUCUGUGCCAGCAGCCGCGGUAAU
rnacentral:rRNA from 1 species